CCGACGGGUGACCGCCCGCUCGGACACUGACACCGGUACCUCACACGGCCGGUGCAG
ncrna:Streptomyces griseus subsp. griseus L17-Actino-Proteobacteria ribosomal protein leader